rnacentral:tRNA from 1 species
AGAAGUAACCGAUUAUUCUUAUCCUGCUAAGUUAAAGAAUCCGUGGUUUAACUCCAUGGUACUCCUG